UUCUUUAUAAGUACUUUCUGUGGUUAAAAAUUCAACAUUUAUUCUACUACUCUCCUCUGCCUCUUCAUCUGCUUUUAACAUAAUAAGCACAAAGCCACAAAUAUUAUAAAAUUCCAAACUCACUCCUGGAAGGAGGAGAGAGACACAAUCUUUCUUCUCAAACUCGACGGCAUAAUCAUUUUUGAUUAUCAACUCAUCACUCG
rnacentral:lncRNA from 1 species